UGGGGAAUAUUGCACAAUGGGCGCAAGCCUGAUGCAGCCAUGCCGCGUGUGUGAAGAAGGCCUUCGGGUUGUAAAGCACUUUCAGCGGGGAGGAAGGCGUUAAGGUUAAUAACCUUGGCGAUUGACGUUACCCGCAGAAGAAGCACCGGCUAACUCCGUGCCAGCAGCCGCGGUAAUACGGAGGGUGCAAGCGUUAAUCGGAAUUACUGGGCGUAAAGCGCACGCAGGCGGUCUGUCAAGUCGGAUGUGAAAUCCCCGGGCUCAACCUGGGAAGUGCAUUCGAAACUGGCAGGCUAGGGUCUUGUAGAGGGGGGUAGAAUUCCAGGUGUAGCGGUGAAAUGCGUAGAGAUCUGGAGGAAUACCGGUGGCGAAGGCGGCCCCCUGGACGAAGACAGACGCUCAGGUGCGAAAGCGUGGGGAGCAAACAGG
rnacentral:rRNA from 1 species